UACAGAGGGGGCAAGCGUUGUUCGGAAUUACUGGGCGUAAAGGGCGCGUAGGCGGCCUGUUAAGUCGAACGUGAAAUCCCCGGGCUCAACCCGGGAACCGCGUCCGAUACUGGCAGGCUUGAAUUCGGGAGAGGGAUGCGGAAUUCCAGGUGUAGCGGUGAAAUGCGUAGAUAUCAGGAGGAACACCGGUGGCGAAGGCGGUUCUCUGGGCCUUACCUGACGCUGAGGAGCGAAAGCGUGGGGAGCAAACAGG
rnacentral:rRNA from 1 species